UUAACAAAAACAUGUCUUUUUGAGUUAUUUUAAAAGUCUGACCUGCCCACUGAAAUUAUUUAAAUGGCCGCAGUAUUCUAACUGUGCAAAGGUAGCAUAAUCAUUAGUCUUUUAAUUGAAGGCUGGUAUGAACGGUUGGACGAGGUAUAAGCUGUUUCAUAUAAAUUUAUAAUAGAAUUUUAUAUUUUAGUCAAAAAGCUAAAAUUUAAUUAAAAGACGAGAAGACCCUAUAAAUCUUUAUAUUUUAAGUUGUUUAAAUUUUUUAGAUUAGUUUUAUUUUUAUAAUUUAGAGUAUUUUGUUGGGGUGAUAUUAAAAUUUAAUGAACUUUUAGUUGUUAAAAAUCAUUAAUUUAUGAGUUAUUGAUCCAUUAAUAGUGAUUAUAAGAUUAAGUUACUUUAGGGAUAACAGCGUAAUUUUUUUGGAGAGUUCAUAUCGAUAAAAAAGUUUGCGACCUCGAUGUUGGAUUAAGAUAUACUUUUAGGUGUAGCCGCUUAAAUAUUAAGUCUGUUCGACUUUUAAAUUCUUACAUGAUCUGAGUUC
rnacentral:rRNA from 1 species